CUUAUAAUUAGGGAGAGAGGGAGU
rnacentral:miRNA from 1 species